AAUGCAUACAGUUACAUUCACUAGCUAGAGUAAAUACAUACAGUUACAUUCACUAGCUAGAGUAAAUACAUACAGUUACAUUCACUAGCUAGAGUAAAUACAUACAGUUACAUUCACUAGCUAGAGUAAAUACAUACAGUUACAUUCACUAGCUAGAGUAAAUACAUACAGUUACAUUCACUAGCUAGAGUAAAUACAUACAGUUACAUUCACUAGCUAGAGUAAAUACAUACAGUUACAUUCACUAGCUAGAGUAAAUACAUACAGUUACAUUCACUAGCUAGAGUAAAUACAUACAGUUACAUUCACUAGCUAGAGUAAAUACAUACAGUUACAUUCACUAGCUAGAGUAAAUACAUACAGUUACAUUCACUAGCUAGAGUAAAUACAUACAGUUACAUUCACUAGCUAGAGUAAAUACAUGCAGUUACAUUCACUAGCUAGAGUAAAUACAUACAG